rnacentral:rRNA from 1 species
GAUGAACGCUGGCGGCGUGCCUAAUACAUGCAAGUCGAGCGAACGGACGAGAAGCUUGCUUCUCUGAUGUUAGCGGCGGACGGGUGAGUAACACGUGGAUAACCUACCUAUAAGACUGGGAUAACUUCGGGAAACCGGAGCUAAUACCGGAUAAUAUUUUGAACCGCAUGGUUCAAAAGUGAAAGACGGUCUUGCUGUCACUUAUAGAUGGAUCCUCGCUGCAUUAGCUAGUUGGUAAGGUAACGGCUUACCAAGGCAACGAUGCAUAGCCGACCUGAGAGGGUGAUCGGCCACACUGGAACUGAGACACGGUCCAGACUCCUACGGGAGGCAGCGGUAGGGAAUCUUCCGCAAUGGGCGAAAGCCUGACGGAGCAACGCCGCGUGAGUGAUGAAGGUCUUCGGAUCGUAAAACUCUGUUAUUAGGGAAGAACAUAUGUGUAAGUAACAGUGCACAUCUUGACGGUACCUAAUCAGAAAGCCACGGCUAACUACGUG